AUGAACGCUAGCUACAGGCUUAACACAUGCAAGUCGAGGGGCAGCAUGAACUUAGCUUGCUAAGUUUGAUGGCGACCGGCGCACGGGUGAGUAACACGUAUCCAACCUGACGAUGACUCGGGGAUAGCCUUUCGAAAGAAAGAUUAAUACCCGAUGGCAUAGUUCUUCCGCAUCGUGGAACUAUUAAAGAACUUCGGUCAUCGAUGGGGAUGCGUUCCAUUAGGUUGUUGGCGGGGUAACGGCCCACCAAGCCUUCGAUGGAUAGGGGUUCUGAGAGGAAGGUCCCCCACAUUGGAACUGAGACACGGUCCAAACUCCUACGGGAGGCAGCAGUGAGGAAUAUUGGUCAAUGGACGAGAGUCUGAACCAGCCAAGUAGCGUGAAGGAUGACUGCCCUAUGGGUUGUAAACUUCUUUUAUACGGGAAUAAAGUGAGGCACGUGUGCCUUUUUGUAUGUACCGUAUGAAUAAGGAUCGGCUAACUCCGUGCCAGCAGCCGCGGUAAUACGGAGGAUCCGAGCGUUAUCCGGAUUUAUUGGGUUUAAAGGGAGCGUAGGCGGACGCUUAAGUCAGUUGUGAAAGUUUGCGGCUCAACCGUAAAAUUGCAGUUGAUACUGGGUGUCUUGAGUACAGUAGAGGCAGGCGGAAUUCGUGGUGUAGCGGUGAAAUGCUUAGAUAUCACGAAGAACUCCGAUUGCGAAGGCAGCCUGCUGGACUGUAACUGACGCUGAUGCUCGAAAGUGUGGGUAUCAAACAGGAUUAGAUACCCUGGUAGUCCACACAGUAAACGAUGAAUACUCGCUGUUUGCGAUAUACAGUAAGCGGCCAAGCGAAAGCGUUAAGUAUUCCACCUGGGGAGUACGCCGGCAACGGUGAAACUCAAAGGAAUUGACGGGGGCCCGCACAAGCGGAGGAACAUGUGGUUUAAUUCGAUGAUACGCGAGGAACCUUACCCGGGCUUGAAUUGCAACUGAAUGAUGUGGAGACAUGUCAGCCGCAAGGCAGUUGUGAAGGUGCUGCAUGGUUGUCGUCAGCUCGUGCCGUGAGGUGUCGGCUUAAGUGCCAUAACGAGCGCAACCCUUAUCGAUAGUUACCAUCAGGUUAUGCUGGGGACUCUGUCGAGACUGCCGUCGUAAGAUGUGAGGAAGGUGGGGAUGACGUCAAAUCAGCACGGCCCUUACGUCCGGGGCUACACACGUGUUACAAUGGGGGGUACAGAAGGCAGCUACACGGCGACGUGAUGCUAAUCCCGAAAGCCUCUCUCAGUUCGGAUUGGAGUCUGCAACCCGACUCCAUGAAGCUGGAUUCGCUAGUAAUCGCGCAUCAGCCACGGCGCGGUGAAUACGUUCCCGGGCCUUGUACACACCGCCCGUCAAGCCAUGAAAGCCGGGGGUACCUGAAGUGCGUAACCGCAAGGAGCGCCCUAGGGUAAAACUGGUGAUUGGGGCU
rnacentral:rRNA from 1 species